rnacentral:lncRNA from 1 species
AGCUCCUCUCGCUCACGGACCCAAGCACAUGAACGGUCUUCAUCUCUCAACUCCUCUACUCCUUGGUUAGGGAGGGUUGAAGGCCCAAUCAUAACCAUAGGUGUAGGUCUCGAAUAGUCAUAGGGCAUGCGAUACUCAGAAGCUCUCCUCCUCACCCACGAGGUAUAGGGUUCCAAAGCAAUACAAUUCUUCAGACCAAGCUCUUUCCUUCC